GAGAAAGAAUUCGAGAACUGCUAAUUCACGUUCCCAUGUUUAAACACAUGGCUUUCCCA
rnacentral:tRNA from 1 species